rnacentral:ribozyme from 1 species
GUUUUUCUUUUUUUUUUCUUUUCUUGAUCCUUCACCCCCUCCUUUCCCUGCCCCCUUCUCUCCUCUUUUUAGAAAGGGGGGGGGGGUUGAAGAGAAAG